rnacentral:misc_RNA from 1 species
GUAAAAUUACAGCAGUCACUGGAAAUGCAACAUCUAGUACAAAAGCUCCAGCAACUCAUUUGUAGGUUUGAAUUCUUUUGGUGCAAACAUAUUUAGAGGGAAGAAAACUAAACAACUAACUAACUAUCUAAAUGAAGCCACAUAUUGGACAUUAUUGAUCAAUACUACACAGAAAAACAAUACCCUCUAUUGCUAAGGGUAGCUAUUUUUUAGAAAAAAACAUGGAUAAAAAACUUCAGGAUGAGGAAGCUCAAGAG